UUCUCAAACCACAAAAGGUAAAGUUAAGGAAUUGGAUGAUCUGUGAUUUAUAGUCUACUAACUGCUUUUUCUAGUGUUUGCCCACAUAUCUGUGUUGGUGAAAUGUUGUGUAUCAUACCCCAAGUCAGUGUUACAUUGAAGAGAUAACUUCAGGUAGGUAAAUAUAAUUGCUUAAGUGUUCUAAACAAGCGUAUGAUUUCUUCUUUCUCUUUUUUUGGCAGGAAAUCCUUUUGUACUAUUGCUCAUUCAUACUUGUUCAUCAAAGCCUGGAGUCCUUAAGGACAGAAUUUACCUCUAAACAGAAAGAUGGAAACUAAAGUACAUUUAUUCUGCCAGGCAGAGGAAAAUAUUGACUUAUUAGAUGAUGGCUCUAAUUCUUUUGCAACUGACUUGUCAUCAGGAACUAUUAACCACAAGAAAUACAUCAAGUUUUCUAAAACAAUAGAGAAGGAAAUUUCACCGGAAAUUAGGAGUUUGAGCCCAGAAUAUAAAAAAAUAUGGAGUCUUGCUGUGUCACCCAGGCUGGAGUGCAGUGGCUCAAUCUCAGCUCACUUCCCA
rnacentral:lncRNA from 10 species